AUUUAUUUAGUAUAAUAAGUACAAUUGAUUUCCAAUCAAAAAGUCUAAAAUUUAGAAUAAAUA
rnacentral:tRNA from 1 species